rnacentral:rRNA from 1 species
GACGAACGCUGGCGGCGUGCCUAAUACAUGCAAGUAGAACGCUGAAGAGAGGAGCUUGCUCUUCUUGGAUGAGUUGCGAACGGGUGAGUAACGCGUAGGUAACCUGCCUUGUAGCGGGGGAUAACUAUUGGAAACGAUAGCUAAUACCGCAUAACAAUGGAUGACACAUGUCUUUUAUUUGAAAGGGGCAAUUGCUCCACUACAAGAUGGACCUGCGUUGUAUUAGCUAGUAGGUGAGGUAAUGGCUCACCUAGGCGACGAUACAUAGCCGAACUGAGAGGGUGAGCGGCCCCACUGGGACUGGGACACGGCCCAGACUCCUACGGGAGGCAGCAGUAGGGAAUCUUCGGCAAAGGGGGCAACCCUGACCGAGCAACGCCGCGGGAGUGAAGGAGGGUUUCGGAUCGUAAAGCUCUGUUGUAAGUCAAGAACGGGUGUGAGAGUGGAAAGUUCACACUGUGACGGUAGCUUACCAGAAAGGGACGGCUAACUACGUG